rnacentral:rRNA from 1 species
GAUGAACGCUGGCGGCGUGCCUAAUACAUGCAAGUCGAGCGAACAGACGAGGAGCUUGCUCCUCUGACGUUAGCGGCGGACGGGUGAGUAACACGUGGAUAACCUACCUAUAAGACUGGGAUAACAUCGGGAAACCGGAGCUAAUACCGGAUAAUAUAUUGAACCGCAUGGUUCAAUAGUGAAAGACGGUUUUGCUGUCACUUAUAGAUGGAUCCGCGCCGCAUUAGCUAGUUGGUAAGGUAACGGCUUACCAAGGCAACGAUGCGUAGCCGACCUGAGAGGGUGAUCGGCCACACUGGAACUGAGACACGGUCCAGACUCCUACGGGAGGCAGCAGUAGGGAAUCUUCCGCAAUGGGCGAAAGCCUGACGGAGCAACGCCGCGUGAAUGAUGAAGGUCUUCGGAUCGUAAAACUCUGUUAUUAGGGAAGAACAAAUGUGUAAGUAACUAUGCACGUCUUGACGGUACCUAAUCAGAAAGCCACGGCUAACUACGUG